rnacentral:snoRNA from 1 species
ACCCUCUCAGGGUCACACCUGGAGAGUUCCCAGUACUCUACCAGUCUCGACUACAGGAGGGAGUGUCAGGCAGAGGCAUAUCCAUUCCGUUCUUAGCUUGGGCAGUGGCUAGCGAGUGGAAGGCACUCUGCUACCAGU